rnacentral:rRNA from 1 species
CCCACUGUCUCCCCCCUCCAAUCAGUGAAACUGAUCUCUCCGUGAAGAAGCGGGGAUACAAAUAUAAGACGAGAAGACCCCAUGGAGCUUUAAACCCAACAGCACCCGUUUAUUUUCAUCCUCACAUAAGUUAGGUUAUGCCUGUUUGGUUUUAGGUUGGGGUGACCACGGAGUAUAAAACAACCUCCAUGAAAAAAGGACCAAAAAUCCUUAUUAGAGAAAGACAUUUCUAAAAUUAAUAAAUUAAUUUUUAAUGAUCCGAUAUUCGAUCAACGAACCAAGUUACCCUGGGGAUAACAGCGCAAUCCACUUCAAGAGCUCCUAUCGACAAGUGGGUUUACGACCUCGAUGUUGGAUCAGGGUAUCCUAGUGGUGCAGCAGCUACUAACGGUUCGUUUGUUCAACGAUUAAAACCCU